rnacentral:rRNA from 1 species
UAAGGAAUAUUGGUCAAUGGACGCAAGUCUGAACCAGCCAUGCCGCGUGAAGGAUUAAGGUCCUCUGGAUUGUAAACUUCUUUUAUCUGGGACGAAAAAAGGCGAUUCUUCGUCACUUGACGGUACCAGAUGAAUAAGCACCGGCUAACUCCGUGCCAGCAGCCGCGGUAAUACGGAGGGUGCAAGCGUUAUCCGGAUUCACUGGGUUUAAAGGGUGCGUAGGCGGGGCAGGUAAAGUCAGUGGUGAAAAUCCCUGGAGCUUAACUCCCAGAACUGCCAUUGAUACUAUCUGUCUUGAAUAUUGUGGAGGUAAGCGGAAUAUGUCAUGUAGCGGUGAAAUGCUUAGAUAUGACAUAGAACACCUAUUGCGAAGGCAGCUUACUACGCAUAUAUUGACGCUGAGGCACGAAAGCGUGGGGAUCAAACAGGAUUAGAUACCCUGGUAGUCCACGCCCUAAACGAUGGAUACUCGACAUACGCGAUACACUGUGUGUGUCUGAGCGAAAGCA